GAAAGUAUGCCACGAAGGAGAUCCAGUGCAAGGGGCACCGGUGGAGCCUCAUCUACAACAACAACAGACUCCACUACCAACACCGCAGGUGUCGUCAGUUUGGAUGCUCAUGUUGGGGAUGCUGCUGUAGAGGAUGCUGCUGUGAAUGUGCCAGUAAUGG